rnacentral:rRNA from 1 species
UACGUAGGCAGCAAGCGUUGUUCGGAAUUACUGGGCGUAAAGAGUGUGUAGGCGGUGCUCCAAGUCUGGUGUGAAAUCUCCCGGCUUAACUGGGAGGGUGCAUUAGAAACUGGAAUGCUAGAGGAUGGGAGAGGUAAGCGGAAUUCCUGGUGUAGCGGUGAAAUGCGUAGAUAUCAGGAGGAACAGCUGUGGUGUAGACAGCUUACUGGACCAUUUCUGACGCUGAGACACGAAAGCGUGGGUAGCAAACAGG